rnacentral:rRNA from 1 species
GGGAACAUACCCUUUUCUACGGAAUAGCUCUGGGAAACUGGAAUUAAUACCGUAUACGCCCUACGGGGGAAAGAUUUAUCGGGGAAGGAUUGGCCCGCGUUGGAUUAGCUAGUUGGUGGGGUAAAGGCCUACCAAGGCGACGAUCCAUAGCUGGUCUGAGAGGAUGAUCAGCCACAUUGGGACUGAGACACGGCCCAAACUCCUACGGGAGGCAGCAGUGGGGAAUAUUGGACAAUGGGCGCAAGCCUGAUCCAGCCAUGCCGCGUGAGUGAUGAAGGCCUUAGGGUUGUAAAGCUCUUUCACCGAUGAAGAUAAUGACGGUAGUCGGAGAAGAAGCCCCGGCUAACUUCGUGCCAGCAGCCGCGGUAAUACGAAGGGGGCUAGCGUUGUUCGGAAUUACUGGGCGUAAAGUGCACGUAGGCGGAUAUUUAAGUCAGGGGUGAAAUCCCAGAGCUCAACUCUGGAACUGCCUUUGAUACUGGGUAUCUUGAGUAUGGAAGAGGUAAGUGGAAUUGCGAGU